CUGUGAAGAUGCAGUGUACCCGCGGCAAGACGGAAAGACCCCGUGAACCUUUACUAUAGCUUGACACUGAACAUUGAGCCUUGAUGUGUAGGAUAGGUGGGAGGCUUUGAAGUGUGGACGCCAGUCUGCAUGGAGCCGACCUUGAAAUACCACCCUUUAAUGUUUGAUGUUCUAACGUGGACCCGUGAUCCGGGUUGCGGACAGUGUCUGGUGGGUAGUUUGACUGGGGCGGUCUCCUCCUAAAGAGUAACGGAGGAGCACGAAGGUUGGCUAAUCCUGGUCGGACAUCAGGAGGUUAGUGCAAUGGCAUAAGCCAGCUUGACUGCGAGCGUGACGGCGCGAGCAGGUGCGAAAGCAGGUCAUAGUGAUCCGGUGGUUCUGAAUGGAAGGGCCAUCGCUCAACGGAUAAAAGGUACUCCGGGGAUAACAGGCUGAUACCGCCCAAGAGUUCAUAUCGACGGCGGUGUUUGGCACCUCGAUGUCGGCUCAUCACAUCCUGGGGCUGAAGUAGGUCCCAAGGGUAUGGCUGUUCGCCAUUUAAAGUGGUACGCGAGCUGGGUUUAGAACGUCGUGAGACAGUUCGGUCCCUAUCUGCCGUGGGCGCUGGAGAACUGAGGGGGGCUGCUCCUAGUACGAGAGGACCGGAGUGGACGCAUCACUGGUGUUCGGGUUGUCAUGCCAAUGGCACUGCCCGGUAGCUAAAUGCGGAAGAGAUAAGUGCUGAAAGCAUCUAAGCACGAAACUUGCCCCGAGA
rnacentral:rRNA from 1 species